rnacentral:rRNA from 1 species
AUUGAACGCUGGCGGCAUGCCUUACACAUGCAAGUCGAACGGCAGCACGGGAGCAAUCCUGGUGGCGAGUGGCGAACGGGUGAGUAAUGUAUCGGAACGUGCCCAGUCGUGGGGGAUAACGCAGCGAAAGCUGUGCUAAUACCGCAUACGAUCUAUGGAUGAAAGCGGGGGAUCGCAAGACCUCGCGCGAUUGGAGCGGCCGAUAUCAGAUUAGCUAGUUGGUGGGGUAAAAGCUUACCAAGGCGACGAUCUGUAGCUGGUCUGAGAGGACGAACAGCGACACUGGAACUGAGACACGGUCCAGACGCCUACGGGAGGCAGCAGUGGGGAAUUUUGGACAAUGGGCGCAAGCCUGAUCCAGCAAUGCCGCGUGCAGGAUGAAGGCCUUCGGGUUGUAAACUGCUUUUGUACGGAGCGAAAAGGCUCUCUCUAAUACAGGGGGCUCAUGACGGUACCGUAAGAAUAAGCACCGGCUAACUACGUGCCAGCAGCCGCAGUAA